rnacentral:rRNA from 1 species
AGUGAACGCUGGCGGUAGGCCUAACACAUGCAAGUCGAACGGCAGCACAGUAAGAGCUUGCUCUUACGGGUGGCGAGUGGCGGACGGGUGAGGAAUACAUCGGAAUCUACUUUUUCGUGGGGGAUAACGUAGGGAAACUUACGCUAAUACCGCAUCCGAUCUACGGGUGAAAGCAGGGGAUCUUUGGACCUUGCGCGAUUGAAUGAGCCGAUGUUGGAUUGGCUAGUUGGCGGGGUAAAGGCCCACCAAGGCGAGGAUCCGUAGCUGGUCUGAGAGGAUGAUCAGCCACACUGGAACUGAGACACGGUCCAGACUCCUACGGGAGGCAGCAGUGGGGUAUAUUGGACAAUGGGCGCAAGCCUGAUCCAGCCAUACCGCGUGGGUGAAGAAGGCCUUCGGGUUGUAAAGCCCUUUUGUUGGGAAAGAAAAGCAGCAGGUUAAUACCCCGCUGUUCUGACGGUACCCAAAGAAUAAGCACCGGCUAACUUCGUG